rnacentral:rRNA from 1 species
UACGUAGGGUGCGAGCGUUGUCCGGAAUUAUUGGGCGUAAAGAGCUUGUAGGCGGUUUGUCGCGUCUGCUGUGAAAAUCCGGGGCUCAACCCCGGACUUGCAGUGGGUACGGGCAGACUAGAGUGUGGUAGGGGAGACUGGAAUUCCUGGUGUAGCGGUGAAAUGCGCAGAUAUCAGGAGGAACACCGGUGGCGAAGGCGGGUCUCGUGGGCCGAUACUGACGCUGAGGAGCGAAAGCGUGGGGAGCGAACAGG